rnacentral:rRNA from 1 species
AUUAAACGCUGGCGGCAUGCCUUACACAUGCAAGUCGAACGGCAGCACGGGGGCAACCCUGGUGGCGAGUGGCGAACGGGUGAGUAAAGCAUCGGAACGUGCCCUGGAGUGGGGGAUAACGUAGCGAAAGUUACGCUAAUACCGCAUAUUCCGUGAGCAGGAAAGCAGGGGAUCGCAAGACCUUGCGCUCUGGGAGCGGCCGAUGUCGGAUUAGCUAGUUGGUGGGGUAAAGGCCUACCAAGGCGACGAUCCGUAGCGGGUCUGAGAGGAUGAUCCGCCACACUGGGACUGAGACACGGCCCAGACUCCUACGGGAGGCAGCAGUGGGGAAUUUUGGACAAUGGGCGAAAGCCUGAUCCAGCCAUGCCGCGUGAGUGAAGAAGGCCU